AGAGUUUGAUCCUGGCUCAGAUUGAACGCUGGCGGCAUGCUUUACACAUGCAAGUCGGACGGCAGCACAGAGAAGCUUGCUUCUUGGGUGGCGAGUGGCGAACGGGUGAGUAACAUAUCGGAACGUACCGAGUAGUGGGGGAUAACUGAUCGAAAGAUCAGCUAAUACCGCAUACGUCUUGAGAGAGAAAGCAGGGGACNGUUGGUGGGGUAAAGGCCUACCAAGGCGACGAUCAGUAGCGGGUCUGAGAGGAUGAUCCGCCACACUGGGACUGAGACACGGCCCAGACUCCUACGGGAGGCAGCAGUGGGGAAUUUUGGACAAUGGGCGCAAGCCUGAUCCAGCCAUGCCGCGUGUCUGAAGAAGGCCUUCGGGUUGUAAAGGACUUUUGUCAGGGAAGAAAAGGCUGUUGCUAAUAUCAGCGGCUGAUGACGGUACCUGAAGAAUAAGCACCGGCUAACUACGUGCCAGCAGCCGCGGUAAUACGUAGGGUGCGAGCGUUAAUCGGAAUUACUGGGCGUAAAGCGGGCGCAGACGGUUACUUAAGCAGGAUGUGAAAUCCCCGGGCUCAACCCGGGAACUGCGUUCUGAACUGGGUGACUCGAGUGUGUCAGAGGGAGGUAGAAUUCCACGUGUAGCAGUGAAAUGCGUAGAGAUGUGGAGGAAUACCGAUGGCGAAGGCAGCCUCCUGGGACAACACUGACGUUCAUGCCCGAAAGCGUGGGUAGCAAACAGGAUUAGAUACCCUGGUAGUCCACGCCCUAAACGAUGUCAAUUAGCUGUUGGGCAACUUGAUUGCUUAGUAGCGUAGCUAACGCGUGAAAUUGACCGCCUGGGGAGUACGGUCGCAAGAUUAAAACUCAAAGGAAUUGACGGGGACCCGCACAAGCGGUGGAUGAUGUGGAUUAAUUCGAUGCAACGCGAAGAACCUUACCUGGUCUUGACAUGUACGGAAUCCUCCAGAGACGGAGGAGUGCCUUCGGGAGCCGUAACACAGGUGCUGCAUGGCUGUCGUCAGCUCGUGUCGUGAGAUGUUGGGUUAAGUCCCGCAACGAGCGCAACCCUUGUCAUUAGUUGCCAUCAUUCAGUUGGGCACUCUAAUGAGACUGCCGGUGACAAGCCGGAGGAAGGUGGGGAUGACGUCAAGUCCUCAUGGCCCUUAUGACCAGGGCUUCACACGUCAUACAAUGGUCGGUACAGAGGGUAGCCAAGCCGCGAGGUGGAGCCAAUCUCACAAAACCGAUCGUAGUCCGGAUUGCACUCUGCAACUCGAGUGCAUGAAGUCGGAAUCGCUAGUAAUCGCAGGUCAGCAUACUGCGGUGAAUACGUUCCCGGGUCUUGUACACACCGCCCGUCACACCAUGGGAGUGGGGGAUACCAGAAGUAGGUAGGGUAACCGCAAGGAGUCCGCUUACCACGGUAUGCUUCAUGACUGGGGUGAAGUCGUAACAAGGUAGCCGUAGGGGAACCUGCGGCUG
rnacentral:rRNA from 1 species